rnacentral:sRNA from 1 species
GUAAACGCAGAAGACAAAAAAAAACAUGAAAGAUGGAAAAUUAGCUACGAUGGACUACACGAGGAAAGGAAACCUUUGGCUGGCCCCACGGCUCAUGGGAUGCGCCCUGAAUGCGUGUGAAGGCAAAGGCCUCUAUCCCGUGAUAAAAAGGCUAAGGAGAAAUACGGCUUAGCAGAUGGUGGCAGUAGAUGAUGAUGGACCCUUCGCUGAACUGACCGUCCGUACGUGUAUAUCUGUUUGUAAGUAAGUUUGUUUAUAUUUCCUUUUUUUCCUUCUCUUGUUUGUUGUACUUAUAUUUGUAUUUUUUUCUUAGUGUUUUUACAGGUUUCUUUUUUUUAAUUUGCAAUUGUGUUAAAUUCUUUUUGAAUGCAGCUCAAUCGGCUUGCAUUAAUGGGGCCAAAAAACCCCUAUUCCUAAACCAACAAAGCUACCUACAAUAAGCUCACCUUAAGCGCUUCGGGCACCUUUCUUACCAAAGCUGGAAACGGUAAGUUAACAAAAAAAAAAACAAUGCGCAAUUGUUCUGCCUAAUCACUUUCAUUAAAACCUUCUUUUUUUUUUUCUUUUACACAAAUAUAGGGUACUGAAACAAAAAGCAGUCAGGUCUGGAGUCUGUCUGUCCAAAGUUAAAAAUGUGAUCAACCGCCCGCAUAGGGUUCUUUACAUGGGUAUAUAUGUAGGUGUGAGCAUGACAGUUUUCUGUACCUCCCACAAUGACUGGAGCGGUAAUGUUGACUGGACGUGUUGAUUGACCGACUGGAUGGUUAUAUAGCUGUUGAUUUUUUUUU